rnacentral:rRNA from 1 species
GAUGAACGCUGGCGGCGUGCCUAAUACAUGCAAGUCGAGCGAACAGACGAGGAGCUUGCUCCUCUGACGUUAGCGGCGGACGGGUGAGUAACACGUGGAUAACCUACUUAUAAUACUGGGAUAACUUCGGGAAACCGGAGCUAAUACCGGAUAAUAUAUUGAACCGCAUGGUUCAAUAGUGAAAGACGGCUUUGCUGUCACUUAUAGAUGGAUCCGCGCCGCAUUAGCUAGUUGGUAAGGUAACGGCCUACCAAGGCAACGAUGCGUAGCCGACCUGAGAGGGUGAUCGGCCACACUGGAACUGAGACACGGUCCAGACUCCUACGGGAGGCAGCAGUAGGGAAUCUUCCGCAAUGGGCGAAAGCCUGACGGAGCAACGCCGCGUGAGUGAUGAAGGUCUUCGGAUCGUAAAGCUCUGUUAUUAGGGAAGAACAGAUGUGUAAGUAACUAUGCACGUCUUGACGGUACCUAAUCAGAAAGCCACGGCUAACUACGUG